AGUGAACGCUGGCGGUAGGCUUAACACAUGCAAGUCGAACGGCAGCACAGUAAGAGCUUGCUCUUACGGGUGGCGAGUGGCGGACGGGUGAGGUAUACAUCGGAAUCUACUUUUUCGUGGGGGAUAACGUAGGGAAACUUACGCCAAUACCGCAUACGACCUACGGGUGAAAGCAGGGGAUCUUCGGACCUUGCGCGAUUGAAUGAGCCGAUGUCGGAUUAGCUAGUUGGCGGGGUAAAGGCCAACCAAGGCGGCGAUCCGUAGCUGGUCUGAGAGGAUGGUCGGCCACACUAGAGCUGAGACACGGUCCAGACUCCUACGGGAGGCAGCAGUGGGGAAUGUUGGACAAUGGGCGCAAGCCUGAUCCAGCCAUACCGCGUGGGUGAAGAAAGCCUUCGGGUUGUAAAGCCCUUUUGUUGGGAAAGAAAAGCAGCAGGUUAAUACCCCGCUGUUCUGACGGUACCCAAAGAAUAAGCACCGGCUAACUUCGUG
rnacentral:rRNA from 1 species